GCCUGCUGCUUGUCGAUCCAUGCCAGUGAAGCCUGAAUCGGUGGACUCAACUCCAAAUGAUGCUUCUUCUGAAGUCCAAGAGUCAAAUGAGAACACUACUAAACCUUACAGGGAGUCACUUCCA